UACGAAGGGGGCUAGCGUUGUUCGGAUUUACUGGGCGUAAAGCGCACGUAGGCGGAUCGUUAAGUCGGGGGUGAAAUCCUGGAGCUCAACUCCAGAACUGCCUUCGAUACUGGCGAUCUCGAGUUCGGGAGAGGUGAGUGGAACUGCGAGUGUAGAGGUGAAAUUCGUAGAUAUUCGCAAGAACACCAGUGGCGAAGGCGGCUCACUGGCCCGAUACUGACGCUGAGGUGCGAAAGCGUGGGGAGCAAACAGG
rnacentral:rRNA from 1 species